GUGAGGAAUUUUCCGCAAUGGGCGAAAGCCUGACGGAGCAAUGCCGCGUGAAGGAUUAAGGCCUAUGGGUUGUAAACUUCUUUUCUUAGAGAAGAAUAUUGACGGUAUCUGAGGAAUAAGCACCGGCUAACUACGUGCCAGCAGCCGCGGUAAUACGUAGGGUGCAAGCGUUAAUCGGAAUUACUGGGCGUAAAGCGUGCGCAGGCGGUGCUGUAAGACAGGCGUGAAAUCCCCGGGCUUAACCUGGGAAUUGCGCUUGUGACUGCAGUGCUGGAGUGCGGCAGAGGGGGAUGGAAUUCCGCGUGUAGCAGUGAAAUGCGUAGAUAUGCGGAGGAACACCGAUGGCGAAGGCAAUCCCCUGGGCCUGCACUGACGCUCAUGCACGAAAGCGUGGGGAGCAAACAGGAUUAGAUACCCUUGUAGUCC
rnacentral:rRNA from 1 species